rnacentral:rRNA from 1 species
GUUUGAUUAUGGCUCAGGAUGAACGCUAGCGAUAGGCUUAACACAUGCAAGUCGAGGGGCAGCACGGUGUAGCAAUACACUGGUGGCGACCGGCGUACGGGUGCGUAACACGUAUGCAACCUACCCGCUAUUGGGGGAUAACCCGGCGAAAGUCGGACUAAUACCCCAUAUUAUUCUUACCGGGCAUCCGGUAGGUCUGAAAGAUUUAUCGAUUGCGGAUGGGCAUGCGGAUGAUUAGCUAGUAGGUGGGGUAACGGCUCACCUAGGCGACGAUCAUUAGGGGUUCUGAGAGGAAGGUCCCCCCACACUGGAACUGAGACACGGUCCAGACUCCUACGGGAGGCAGCAGUGAGGAAUAUUGGUCAAUGGGCGCUAGCCUGAACCAGCCAAGUCGCGUGAAGGAUGACAAGAUCUAUGGUUUGUAAACUUCUUUUGCAGGGGAGUAAAGUGCGACACAUGUGUUGUAUUGCAAGUACCCUGCGAAUAAGCAUCGGCUAACUCCGUGCCAGCCGCGGC